rnacentral:rRNA from 1 species
GUGCCAGCAGCCGCGGUAAUACGGAGGGUGCAAGCGUUGUCCGGAAUCACUGGGCGUAAAGGGUGCGCAGGCGGGGCAGCAAGUCGGAGGUGAAAGCCCGUGGCUCAACCACGGAAGUGCCUUCGAAACUGUUGCUCUUGAGUCCCGGAGAGGUUGCCGGAAUUCGUGGUGUAGCGGUGAAAUGCGUAGAUAUGUCGUAGAAUACCGAUUGCGAAGGCAGCCAACCGGACUGAAAUUGACGCUGAGGCACGAACGCGUGGGGAGCGAACAGGAUUAGAAACCCGGUGUAGUCC